ensembl:lncRNA novel transcript
ACACUUUCUGAGGCAGAACGUAAAAGGUAGAGCCACGUUUGGUAUCCGAGCUGCAGUGAGGCCUUCUUCAUGAAGCCUCUCCCAGUUCUCCGCCUCACCCCACCAAGCUGGAACUGAUCGCAGCCUCCAAACUCCCACAGCAAUCCUUUGCCUCCUCUUCUGACGCUACUCUUUCUCUCUUGGAUGAAAGCCGUGUGUAUCCAUGUUGGUUCUCCACUUCUAGAACCUGUCGUUUUGGGGCUGCAGGACUUGGUGGAUUCACACUGGCAUCCCCUCAGGAAGCAGAUUGUUCCCCACUUGAUUGCAAGCUUCAGCAGGAAAGACACUCGGUCCAUCUUGUUCACAACUAUGCAUGUGCCUGACACCUAGAAUCAUGUUUACAAAGCAUUCCCUUGGCAAGAGGCUGUCUAUAGGAUCCAGAUGGUCUGACCCCAAGUCAGAUGUCCUUUAUAACCUUGCUUUUAUGGUCCUCUGACCAGCAGCAUUAACAUCACCCUCACCUGGGAGCUCAUUAGGAAUGCAGAAUCUCGGGCCUCAUCCCUGAUCCACUGAAUUGGAAUCUGCAUCUUAACAAGAUCCUCAGGCAAUCUGUAAGCAUAUGCAUGGUUGAGAAGCACUGCUGUACAACACUUUGUAACAAUCUCUCUUGUCCAAGAGCGGGGACGAAGCUAGCUGUGAAAGCUAACACAGGUCUCAGGUGUUCUUCUUCCUGCAAGUGAGGGUUGGACAGCCCAAGCCAUGCUUCGCCUGGGCCCUGAGGAGGCCUCACCCCCCACUCCCCAUGGCAGCAACAUUCUCCUUGAGCCUUCCUUGGUGGUCCGAUGUCAGCAUCUUGCCAAUCCAGGCGAAGGCAUCAUGCCACACUGACAGAUGGCCCAAAGUAGGACAGACAGAAGAAAUGUAUGUUUAUCAAAUUUGGGUUGAAAAGACCACGUUCCCCCAGCAUAGGCUGUCAAACAGCUGUCAUUCAGGAGCAUAUGGCCCAGCGGUGAGAGGGCACAGACACAGCUAAUCCCACUCUUAGAGAGAUUAGCUCUGACGAGUGAAGAAAGUUGCGGCUGUCGCCAGGGUGCUGCCUGGGAGGAGAGGGUGGAGGGUCUGCAUUGUGGUUCAUUUCCCGAAUCACCUUCCCUGUGAUCGAGGCUCCUGUCUGCCAAAAAGAAGCCAGAAUGAAAUGAUGCUGUAGAAAUAACUAUGACAGUAAUAAUAAUAAAUCUACCAUUUAUCAACCA